UGGAAGAAAAAAGAAAACUUCUUGAUUAUCUUUUUCUUCUUCUUCGUUGUUUACUUCAAUCUAAUCUCUUCAUCCUCCAUAUUCUUCAGUUUGUGUUUUUUCUUCUUCUUAUUCAUUCCAAUCCAAGGGAACCCUGAUCUGUCUUUCCCAAAGUCCUCCAUUUUGCACUCUGUAAAUCAAUCAUCGUCGUCUCCACCAAACCCUAAACCUCGAUCUCUCCUUGAACGACGAUUAUGUCUCAUAAUCAUCUCCGCAAGACCUCGCAACCCCCUCAAUUUCACUCCUUCCUGCGUCUCCUCAGAUUCGAUAAAGGAGAGACGGAUGCAGCAGAGACAGCCAUACAUUGUUGAACAUAAUGAGAAAGCUUUUCUUAAGCAACCCAAGGUCUUCCUAAGCUAGAGGAAAUCUUGGAAGGAAACAGAUAUGUUAAAGGUGGAAACCGUUACUGGAAGAACAUUGUAGAUUUACCUCUGUUUGUUUCUCUCCGCUCUUCUAUAUUUCAUUCGUGUGCUUGCCCAGUUGUGUUUGUGUGACCAGGUCGUCAAUUAGGAACUGGUGUUCAGACUAACGAAGAGGUCGCAAUUAAGCUCGAAAGUGUGAAGACUGCGCAACACCAGGAUAUAUAGUGUUGUUCAGAAAGAGUUUGGUUUGUGCUGAUUGAGAAGCACUGAUAGAUGAAGUCACAGAGAAGAUUGAGAAAGAUCUGGUUCUUCUUGGAGCUACAACUGUUGAGGAUAAACUCUAAAAUGGGGAGACAAGGUGGAGACUGCUGUCAAUGUUGAUAUCUCUCUUUGUGUUCUUUGCCAUGAGCUUUGCUACUGUUGUGGAGCAGAGUACAGAGAAGGACAACAUAGUUGCACUUGUGACACAUUCAACUCAAUGCCAAGGGAAGAGUUGUUGAUGGCAGAGAGAUGACUGUUCAGUUUCAUGAAACCUUUCUAUGUAUAUGAGUAUUUCUGUCUUAGAUUUGCAAACACACUUAUGUUCCAGUCUUUGGUUUUUUUCAGUUUUAUCUGAGAUGACUCUUGAGAUUGAAGUUGUUUGAACUGUGUAUAGGCAGGGGCAAGAGAUGUAUAUUUUUCAGUUUCAUCUGAGAUGAUAAUUGGAUUUUU